rnacentral:rRNA from 1 species
GGACCUGACUGCUAUCGGAUUGAUACUAAGCCAUGCGAGUCAUUGUAGCAAUACAAGGCAUACGGCUCAGUAACGCGUAGUCAACCUAACCUAUGGACGGGAAUAACCUCGGGAAACUGAGAAUAAUGCCCGAUAGAACAUUAUGCCUGGAAUGGUUUAUGUUCCAAAUGAUUUAUCGCCAUAGGAUGGGACUGCGGCCUAUCAGUUUGUUGGUGAGGUAAUGGCCCACCAAGACUAUUACAGGUACGGGCUCUGAGAGGAGUAGCCCGGAGAUGGGUACUGAGACACGGACCCAGGCCCUAUGGGGCGCAGCAGGCGAGAAAACUUUGCAAUGUGCGAAAGCACGACAAGGUUAAUCCGAGUGGUUUCUGCUAAAGAAACCUUUUGUCAGUCCUAGAAACACUGAUGAAUAAGGGGUGGGCAAGUUCUGGUGU